rnacentral:misc_RNA from 1 species
AAUUAAUAGGGAGUAUAUAUCUUUGUUUAAACGAUUGAGUGGUUAUUUAAUUAAAAGAGCGGUGAAGUUUAUAAAAAAUAUUUAUAUCAUCAGGUGGAUUGCAUAAUAAUAAACGGUAAACUAAAUAGAGUAGUCACUGGAGUCCAGAAGAGAGAAGAGUGAGACUCAGGCUGUAGCAGAGGCUGAUUGAAGAGCCAACCUUGCCGGGUUUUCCGUUCGACGACGACAGUUUCAGUAGACGGGAUAUAAGAUCCCACUUGGACGAUUUGGCGGCCCGUCAUCCAGAAUUUGCAG